AGCAGCCGCGGUAAUUCCAGCUCCAAUAGCGUAUAUUAAAGUUGUUGCAGUUAAAAAGCUCGUAGUUGAAUUUCGGGAUCAAUAUAUCGGUCGUGCCUUGGUACGUACUGGUAUCAUUGAUUUCUCCCUUCUGACGAAUCAUGAUGUCAUUAAUUUGGUGUUAUGAGGAGUUAGGACUGUUACUUUGAAAAAUUAGAGUGUUUAAAGCAGGCAUUAGCUUGAAUACAUUAGCAUGGAAUAAUGAAAUAGGACGUUUGACCCUAUUUUGUUGGUUUCUAGGAUCGACGUAAUGAUUAAUAGGGAUAGUUGGGGCAUUAGUAUUCAAUUGUCAGAGGUGAAAUUC
rnacentral:rRNA from 1 species